UACAGAGGGGGCAAGCGUUAUUCGGAAUUAUUGGGCGUAAAGGGCGCGUAGGCGGCAUCGCAAGUGGAAGGUGAAAUCCCCGGGCUCAACCCGGGAACUGCGUCCGAUACUGGCAGGCUUGAAUCCGGGAGAGGGAUGCGGAAUUCCAGGUGUAGCGGUGAAAUGCGUAGAUAUCUGGAGGAACACCGGUGGCGAAGGCGGCAUCCUGGACCGGCAUUGACGCUGAGGCGCGAAAGCCAGGGGAGCAAACGGG
rnacentral:rRNA from 1 species